CGUAUUUUUGCUGACAAAUGCCAUAUUCAAUGGGUGUUAGCGCUCGUAAAUUCAUUAUUCUGUGCUCUUGUACACUCAGAGGAGAGUGCUCUGAAAUCGGAGUAGAUAGCCAGAGUGAAUUUACGAAAGUACCCGAAUGUCCAUUGAGAACCCACAACGACAAUACCAUUUAGCUAAGAGUGACGGGAAUAAUCAAGUCAAUAAAUGUUGGUUAGCCUAUAGUUAAUAUACUGGCAAGUUUGAUGUAUAACUAACAUACGGGUACAUAAUGUUACUGGUGUAAUGAUAUGCUAUGUGAUUCGUAAGGACAGCAUAGCUAAAGAAUUGUCAGGCUACAUAACGUGUAAGGUCAUUUAUUUGAAAAGUCAUUACAUUGUUCAACAUUUUCUUAACAUUUGUCAUAAUUAGCAAUGCAUUUGUAUCUGCUCUCGUACAUCGGCUGCAUAUUUUCCGCCAUUUUCUUCAAAUCUGAAAGCAAUGUGAGGCCACGCCCAUCUUCUGAAGAAUUGCAUUAUGGUCCCUAAAGUACGGAAAUAGUGUCUUCUGCGUGUAUAUUUCAUAUUUUUGCAAAUUUAGUACGACAUCCGGGAACUUUUGGCAUACUAACUAUAUCCAUACUAUGACCAAUAAGCAUACUAUAUUGCGGUUAGUAUGAGUAUUCAAACACAGCUAUUGUCCUUAUCCAUACCAUAGCUGCUGCUAUGGAUAUGCCUUUUACUUGAGAGCUCUGUCUUCUUUUCCAGGUCUCCCUUGACAAAAUGAGGUUAUUUUUUGACUUGGUAAAAUAAUCUAACGGUUGUGUGCACUCUCGCUAGAUAGAAUUGUGUGGUUUGGUGGCAGAUUUUUUAAAGAAAAUAGAAAUAUACAGUAUAUCAUCAGCACAUCUCAAUCAGAUGAGAUACACAGCUAACCCAAAUUGAAUUUCAUUCAUUCAUAAAUGUGGACACUAAUUAUUGUUAAUAUUACAAUUCUCUAGGCCCUUCAUUCCAAAACCUGAUGCCCAGGAAAGACCAGGAAAAAGUGUUGGCUUAAGGCUCGGUGGGUGACCGGUAACAAUGAUUCAACCAAGCUGUUCCAGGCCUGGAGUGGCACGCUGGAACUUCCAGAGGCUUGUAGACCUGAAGCAGUGUGAUGUGAUCCAGAUCUGACAUCCCUAUUAGCUCAACCACAGUCCUCACAGCUGAAGUCGUCUGCCCCUGCACCUGCUACACCAGCCACGAUAGGUGAUACAGAUUUAUUGUUUGCAUGCCAAUGGUGGUUCCAUGUGCUGUGCCUAGGAAUGAAGACAAAAGAGUGAUGAACACAAACUGGAAGUGCUGUCUGUUGUUGAAAAUGUAUGCUAUACCCCAUCCACAAUAUACCCUAUCCACACUGAAGAGGCUCUGACAUGUAGAUAAACCAGGGAUAAAGAGAGAAAAUUAACACAAAUGUUUUGUACUUAUUUGAAGUAAAGUGUCUGUUGACAUGUUGGAAAAGAUUAAAGGUCUACAAU